rnacentral:rRNA from 1 species
UGGAUCCAGACUUUGAUCAUGGCUCAGGAUGAACGCUAGCUAUAGGCUUAACACAUGCAAGUCGAGGGGCAUCAGGAUGUAGCAAUACAUUGCUGGCGACCGGCGCACGGGUGAGUAACACGUAUCCAACCUGCCUUUUACUCGGGGAUAGGCUUUCGAAAGAAAGAUUAAUACCCGAUGGUAUAAUAUUUCCGCAUGGGAUUAUUAUUAAAGAAUUUCGGUAAAAGAUGGGGAUGCGUUCCAUUAGGCAGUUGGCGGGGUAACGGCCCACCAAACCUUCGAUGGAUAGGGGUUCUGAGAGGAAGGUCCCCCACAUUGGAACUGAGACACGGUCCAAACUCCUACGGGAGGCAGCAGUGAGGAAUAUUGGUCAAUGGGCGAAAGCCUGAACCAGCCAAGUAGCGUGAAGGAUGACUGCCCUAUGGGUUGUAAACUUCUUUUAUAGGGGAAUAAAAUGAGCCACGUGUGGCUUUUUGUAUGUACCCUAUGAAUAAGGAUCGGCUAACUCCGUGCCAGCAGCCGCGGUAAUACGGAGGAUCCGAGCGUUAUCCGGAUUUAUUGGGUUUAAAGGGAGCGUAGGUGGACAUGUAAGUCAGUUGUGAAAGUUUGCGGCUCAACCGUAAAAUUGCAGUUGAUACUGUGUGUCUUGAGUACAGUAGAGGUGGGCGGAAUUCGUGGUGUAGCGGUGAAAUGCUUAGAUAUCACGAAGAACUCCGAUUGCGAAGGCAGCUCACUGGACUGUUACUGACACUGAGGCUCGAAAGUGUGGGUAUCAAACAGGAUUAGAUACCCUGGUAGUCCACACAGUAAACGAUGAAUACUCGCUGUUUGCGAUAUACAGCAAGCGGCCAAGCGAAAGCAUUAAGUAUUCCACCUGGGGAGUACGCCGGCAACGGUGCAACUC